rnacentral:rRNA from 1 species
CAUGGCUCAGAUUGAACGCUGGCGGUAUGCUUAACACAUGCAAGUUAACGGUAGCAGGCCUUCGGGCGCUGACGAGUGGCGGACGGGUGAGUAACGCGUAGGAAUCUGCCUCAUAGUGGGGGACAACGUGGGGAAACUCACGCUAAUACCGCAUACGCCCUACGGGGGAAAGCGGGGGAUCUUCGGACCUCGCGCUAUGAGAUGAGCCUGCGUUAGAUUAGCUAGUUGGUAGGGUAAAGGCCUACCAAGGGCGACGAUCUAUAGUUGGUCUGAGAGGACGAUCAGCCACACUGGGACUGAGACACGGCCCAGACUCCUACGGGAGGCAGCAGUGGGGAAUAUUGGACAAUGGGCGCAAGCCUGAUCCAGCAAUACCGCGUGUGUGAAGAAGGCCUUAGGGUUGUAAAGCACUUUCAAUUGGGAGGAAAACCUGUCGGUCAAUACCCGGCAGCUUGACAUUACCUUUAGAAGAAGCACCGGCUAACUCCGUGCCAGCAGCCGCGGUAAUACGGAGGGUGCAAGG